AAUAUUACAAUUAAUAAAGAUAAUUUUAUAAGACCUAAUGUGACUAUUGAGUUAAGUUGUCCUCCUUCACAAUCCAACACUUUCCUAACUAUUACCAGUGACAGUACUGCAGUCAUUGAUCAGUACACAUUCACUGGUACUGAUGAGUCUAUUAAUGAUAUACGUACAUUAAUACCAUAUCAUCAAUACAAUUAUACUGUACGUGUAUUUAACUUAAGGAACAAGCUCCAGUAUGAGACAUACACCAUCAUCACUACAUAUCAGGUCAUUGGUCUCUACAUUAACAAUACAUAUACCAAUGGAUCAGUUAGUGUACAGUGUAUAUAUCAACUAGUAUCAACUGAUGAUGGAUGUCAUGUGGUAUUCACUGAUACUAGUAAUGGAAGGAAUGAACACUUUAAUAUAACUGGAUCAGACUAUAGGAUACUAUCAGUAUCAACCAGUGGAGUGUAUAAUGUAUCAGUUUAUUAUCUCAACAAUGGAUCAAUAUAUGGACCUGCUGUACACUAUCAUUCACUGGUUGAGAUUAUAAUCAUUAACAUACCAUCACCUUCUAAUACACUCACUACAAUCAA